GCUUUCCUAUGGCUCAGUUGGUAGAGCAUUGUGCUCAGAAAGAAAAGGUUGUGGGUUUAAAUCCCAGGGAAAGCA
rnacentral:tRNA from 1 species